rnacentral:rRNA from 1 species
UACGUAGGUGACAAGCGUUGUCCGGAUUUACUGGGCGUAAAGAGCGCGCAGGCGGUCGUUCAAGUCGCGUGUGAAAGCCCCCGGCUCAACUGGGGAGGGUCACGCGAUACUGAUCGACUCGAAGGCAGGAGAGGGUAGUGGAAUUCCCGGUGUAGUGGUGAAAUGCGUAGAGAUCGGGAGGAACACCAGAGGCGAAGGCGGCGACCUGGACAGGUACUGACACUCAACUACGAAAGCGUGGGGAGCAAACAGG